rnacentral:lncRNA from 1 species
UUUUUUUUUUUGUACUACUGUUUGUCUGGGGUUUUUUUAUACUACUGUUUGUCUGGGUUUUUUUGUACUACUGUUUGUCUGGGUUUUUUUGUACUACUGUUUGUCUGGUUUUUUUUGUACUAAUGUUUGUCUGGUUUUUUUUUUGUACUACUGUUUGUCUGGGUUUUUUUGUAGUACUGUUUGUCAGGGUUUUUUUUCUAUUCUAACCAUUUUCAUUUUUGACUUGUUUGAAUAUCCCUUUACUAUCGUUCGCCUCUCUUUGACGUUUAUUUCGAUGAAACGUAAGUGCAAAUACAGGUUUGUCCACAUCUUAUCAGCGACCGAAAAUUGAUAUAACUUGGCGUAACUUGACAUAAAGAGAAAAAAA